rnacentral:lncRNA from 1 species
CCUAAACAAAUUUGCACCUGCAAAAUAAUAAGACCUAAAAUUAAGGCCAAAAGUCUCACACGUCCGCAAUGAAUAGGGGGUGUUGGCCGAAGAAUAUUCUAGGGUUUAGGGUUUAAAUAUAUAUCCUAGGGUUUAGAGGUGGCCAGCCCUAGAGUGGAAUUUGGGUGAGAAUAUUUUAAGAUAUUUGUGUAAAUAAAUAUCUUAGAAUAAUUAUGUAAAUAUCCUAAAUAAAUAGGAUUAGGAUUACUUACUUAAAAAAGGUUUUCUCUGAUUAGGAAUGUAUUUAUGAUAAGCAUAAAGGAUUAUUCUAUCACAAAUACCUUUGGCUUUUCCUA